rnacentral:rRNA from 1 species
AGCGAACGCUGGCGGCAGGCUUAACACAUGCAAGUCGAGCGGGCGUAGCAAUACGUCAGCGGCAGACGGGUGAGUAACGCGUGGGAACAUACCUUUUGGUUCGGAACAACACAGGGAAACUUGUGCUAAUACCGGAUAAGCCCUUACGGGGAAAGAUUUAUCGCCGAAAGAUUGGCCCGCGUCUGAUUAGCUAGUUGGUGAGGUGAUGGCUCACCAAGGCGACGAUCAGUAGCUGGUCUGAGAGGAUGAUCAGCCACAUUGGGACUGAGACACGGCCCAAACUCCUACGGGAGGCAGCAGUGGGGAAUAUUGGACAAUGGGCGCAAGCCUGAUCCAGCCAUGCCGCGUGAGUGAUGAAGGCCCUAGGGUUNUAAAGCUCUUUUGUGCGGGAAGAUAAAUGACGGUACCGCAAG